GAGCUUGCUCCCUGAUGUUAGCGGCGGACGGGUGAGUAACACGUGGGUAACCUGCCUGUAAGACUGGGAUAACUCCGGGAAACCGGGGCUAAUACCGGAUGGUUGUCUGAACCGCAUGGUUCAGACAUAAAAGGUGGCUUCGGCUACCACUUACAGAUGGACCCGCGGCGCAUUAGCUAGUUGGUGAGGUAACGGCUCACCAAGGCGACGAUGCGUAGCCGACCUGAGAGGGUGAUCGGCCACACUGGGACUGAGACACGGCCCAGACUCCUACGGGAGGCAGCAGUAGGGAAUCUUCCGCAAUGGACGAAAGUCUGACGGAGCAACGCCGCGUGAGUGAUGAAGGUUUUCGGAUCGUAAAGCUCUGUUGUUAGGGAAGAACAAGUGCCGUUCAAAUAGGGCGGCACCUUGACGGUACCUAACCAGAAAGCCACGGC
rnacentral:rRNA from 2 species